UUAAAUUGAAGAGUUUGAUCAUGGCUCAGAUUGAACGCUGGCGGCAGGCCUAACACAUGCAAGUCGAACGGUAACAGGAAGCAGCUUGCUGCUUUGCUGACGAGUGGCGGACGGGUGAGUAAUGUCUGGGAAACUGCCUGAUGGAGGGGGAUAACUACUGGAAACGGUGGCUAAUACCGCAUAACGUCGCAAGACCAAAGAGGGGGACCUUCGGGCCUCUUGCCAUCAGAUGUGCCCAGAUGGGAUUAGCUUGUUGGUGAGGUAACGGCUCACCAAGGCGACGAUCCCUAGCUGGUCUGAGAGGAUGACCAGCCACACUGGAACUGAGACA
rnacentral:rRNA from 3 species